GUGUUGUAUGAAAGGAGAGAAAGUUAGCACUCCCCUUGACAAGGAUGCUUCACUCAAGGAUGCAACAUGCAUACGGUUAAGGCACUGCCACCUACUUUCUGGCAACUAACCAAUGUUUAAA